rnacentral:rRNA from 1 species
UACGGAGGGUGCAAGCGUUAUCCGGAUUCACUGGGUUAAAGGGUGCGUAGGUGGGCAGGUAAGUCAGUGGUGAAAUCUCUGGGCUUAACCCAGAAACUGCCGUUGAUACUAUCUGUCUUGAAUAUAGUGGAGGUGAGCGGAAUAUGUCAUGUAGCGGUGAAAUGCUUAGAUAUGACAUAGAACACCCAUGCGAAGGCAGCUCGCUACACUAUCAUUGACACUGAGGCGCGACAGCGUGGGAGCAACAGG